CAGGAAUCAGAGGGAGGGGAAAUCCAUCUGCUGCCUAAAUACAUCUACUGUAGCAUGUGCUAUGUACAGAAACAUCCUCAUGUGCUACUUAUCGACAUACUUCAACUGGAACAAUACGACUCAUCUGAAACACUAAAUAAACAAAGAGAUGCUUUGAUCAGUCAUCCUCAAGAUGCCAGCCAAAAUCUACAUCAACUCUCAAGCAUAUUUCAUUGUAUUUUUUUGCACUCUGAUUUUUGAAGGAAAGCAAGAUCUUGAUAUUUUUUGACUGACAAGACAUUAAUAUAAUAUACCCCACCAUGGCAAAAAUUGGACUGAUAGUUUUACGCAUAGUUCAACUGUUCCUUAUGUGUCUCACGUUUAGUCUGGCAAUUCAUAAUGGAGGGUUGGACACAGCCCGUGGUUUGUUUCUUACCUGCUGGAUCCUCAGUUUCUUUGGUACCCUGAUUGUCUUGAUUACAUCUUUCUUUAAGGAUUGGUUCACUAUCUUCUGGCCCAACGUCUCUGUGACAGUUGCUGGAUUUGCUUUUCUCCUCUGCCUGUCUGCAACAAUUGGAUUCUGCAGCAUCUACCUGAGAGACUGCCCAGGUGUUACUGAAAAUGUGUAUCACCACCGGAUUGCCACUGUCAGCGUCUCCUUCCUAUCCUCCGUGAUAUACCUGUGUGAGGUGGUGAUUCUGGUCAAGUCUGAGUUAGAUGAAAAUGGCUUUGUGACUGCAAUUCUAGGCAUACUAAAGGUCCCAGAGGCCUUUGUGUCCUGUUUCAUCUUUGUAUUAAUCAGUGACAGAUCAUCUUAUGAUCAUUCCCUUCCUCUGAAGUUGUGUGUGAUGAUGUA